UCACAGUUGUAUUUGAUUUAAUACUAGGCUGAGAACAACACUGUGGAGGUGAUGCAUUGGGAAUAUGGACAUUAAUAGGGAUGGUUCUACUUACCUUGACAAACUUUGCUCUCAUGAGAUGAACUUAUGGUUUCACACACAUUGGGAAAAAGGUGUGAGGUAGUAUUUUCAUUUAAAAAGAAAAAAACCCAACAAAAAACAUAGCCUUCCACAUUUAAACAUGAACUAUUUUGCCAGUUAGGACUUGACUGGUAGGCUAACUAUUUUAUUUUAAAAACCUUUAUUUUUAUGUGAAAGGAAUAUUGAGGCUCAGAAGUAAAAAUUUUUUUAGGCUAUUGACACUUGCUGUAGUUUUGUAUGUUGCAGCUCCUUUCCCUGCCCUUCUUAAGUCUAUGUGGUAUGGUUUCUUGCAUAUUAAAGCUGAGUACAAUGAUUAAGGUAUCUUUUUUCCUGAUCAGAGUUUUUAUUUUCUUAGUGUAUGACAAACACUUCUAGACAGAAAAGUCCAAGAUAAAAAAUUGAAUCUCUGUGUCAGAGAGGGAGAAAGCACUGCGAAAGUGAAAUAUCUUGGUCAAUUUUUUCUCGGAGUAAGACAGUGACUUAGCAGGUGUCCUAUUUCCUAUUUUUUCUUCUUUCUAAUCAAGACUGCUCUUUUCUUCAUAAGUGUGUAUUUGUUGGGUUUUAAAUGGAAUUUGCCUUACUAGCUGAGUAGUUGGAAAGUCGAUUCUCCAUGAAGAUAUAGAAUCCAACUCCAGAUUUAACUCUGAAGUGGGACUUGAACUAAAUGUCUUUUGCUGUAGGUUAAUGCUGUAUAACUUUAGUCUCAUGGUUCUUUUUAAACGAACUUCUUCUAAGUUGAAAAGGGAAAUUCCAAAAACUUUGCUAUUUGAGUGAAAUAUGCCUUUUAUUUUUAUUUCAAUCCAUGUUGGAAAUCAAUGACUGUAGGCCUAAAGCAGCUGCAACUGAUACCACCUUUUACUGAGAGCAGUCAGAAUAGUUACAAUGAGAUCAAGUUACAGACAGGGUUAUAAAAAUGUUGGCCUAUAACCCCAAGGGAAAGAAGUGUUGGAUUUUUGUAUUUUGACUUCUUUACUGUGUGCUAGGAUUGACAAUAUUAUACGGAGUCACCUUGAAUGAUUAGUCUGCUAUCCCUUUAAAGUAAUCAGUCUAGAAAAGCUGAAUGCAGCUUGACAGAUUAGCAUUAAUGAUUUCCUUCUGUGUGGCUGAGGAAUCUGAAUUACCAUUAUGGCUCUUGCCCUAUUUAAACUCAGAUAUGUAGAGCUAUACUAACAGGGUGCCAUGUGGACUUUUAUCUGUUGGUGACAACGUCUCUCUUUUGAUAUACAAAGGUAUCACAGACCUCAGAACAGAUACAGGGGAAAAAAAGCCCUUCAGGAUGAAAGUAAAAGCUAAAAAAAAUAUUUGAAAGCUGCUCACACUUUGGACCUGAGCUCUGCAAGAUGGCCUUAGAACCCUGAUCAAAGGUACUGAUUACAGUGCUAAAAUUUUAAAAAUUUUACUAGGGGGAUGAAUAUUUUUGGACAGCUAUAAAAGAAAGUAAUGACCAUGUACCAUAUUUUUGCACUUCAUAUGGAACAGUCUUUGUUUAAUAUAUUGAGAUGUUUUAUUUUUAUUGACAUGUUUAUUUUUAGAUGAGAGUUGAUCACAAUAUUCUCGUAAUCUGAAAAUCAUUAAAAACUCACAGAAGCAUAAUGAGCUGAAAAACCAUUCACUUAUACUGUGGAUUUAUUUAAGUCUUGGCUCUAAACACUUCUAGACACACAGGUGCAAAAAGAGGAGGAAAAAUCUUGGAGAUACUUGAAAAAAGGGAGGUGGGGAAAAAGAGAAAACACAACCCCAAAUAAAUUGAAAAUUAUAAAUACCAUGUAUUUACCUGGGUGAUCAAGAAACAAAUUACAGUUCAUAUAUGCUCUUUCAGCCAUACCAACACCCACUUUGCAUGGUAAUUAAGAGACCUGAUUCAAUAUUCAGUGAGUUUAGAGAGAAAUUCUCAUACCUAUGUAAUGGAAAGUGCAUCUAGACUCUAAAUACCUCUUUUGCACUUAUAUUUGCAAAACCAGAUUUUAUGGCUCACUUUCAGAGUGUGUUGUGAGUGUUCACUCGGGAAUUUGUGGAAAGCAAACUUCUAAGAGAUGCAAUUUCUAUAGUUCAAAGAAAUUGAAGCCCUUAUAACAUCAUGUGGUUGGAAAGUUAGACCAGGAUCUUUCUGGUGUGUUUAAAUGUUUACAAACUUCUAAGUCAAUCAUAUUUUUAUGAAGUUAUAUCACAGUUUGUCUUGAAAGGGUCUAACAACUAUUCUAGCAUUUAUAUAAAACUACCUUUUCUACAGUGCUGCAUUCUUUAGGUGAGAAAUGGAAGUAUGGCACAGCUAUUGUAUUAAAUCAAUCCUUUGAACAUUCGUCCUCUUUUCAAGUAGCACUGAUUAUUUGAGAGGGGAAAAUAAGUAGUAUAGAGGUGUGGAUGAGAGAAGAAACCUUAGAAAUCAAGACACUAAUUGAAAGGUUUCUCUGCCAAAGUAACAGCUGACUUAAGAACAUCUGUGGAGAUUGCCUGGAUGCUGCUGGCCACCAGCUGAUCUGCUGCCAUUGGCAUCACUGCCACCCCGGGAAAAAAAUAAAUGGCUUGAGAAUGAAAAGCAGAUAGCAAGAUACCACCCUGAAGAAUUCUAGACUGGGGGGAAAAGGCAGUUUAGCAAGCUCUCACAGGGUUGAGAUUGUGAAAUCCCACUGGAAUUUCAAAAUGUGAAGUGUCUUUAAACAAACAGAAGCAUCUCUCCUAAGUCCUGCUCAUGUUCACUUUGUAGCCCUCCUCUGGAUGCAUUUGAGUACCUUCACAUCCUCCUGAAAUGGUGGAGCCCAGAGCUGCACACAGAACUUCAGCUCCGGAGUGUGUGUGAAAGAAAUAAGGAAAAACCCAAACCACAACAAACAAACAAAACUGAAGAAAACAAAAUCAAAAGUCAAAAGUAACACCUUGAAGGCCUCUGGGAGUGGUUGUGCCAUUUCAUCCAUGCUGCAAAUCUCUGGAGGUGAAAUCAAACUACAUCACAUCAAUGUAUGGCCCUUAAUGCCUCAAGUUUAAAAGCAGCAAAUCAAGUGAAGACAGCAACAAAGAAAAGGCAGCAUACAUAACAGUUAAUUUGACUGAGUUCUUCUUGAACAGGGCAAUAUUAGAACAACUUCCUGCUCUGCCACUGAGAUGCAAGGAGUCCUUCUGGUGUCUGGACUGCAAUGAAG